AUGAACGCUGGCGGCGUGCUUAACACAUGCAAGUCGAGCGAUGAAGUUUCCUUCGGGAAACGGAUUAGCGGCGGACGGGUGAGUAACACGUGGGUAACCUGCCUCAUAGAGUGGAAUAGCCUUCCGAAAGGAAGAUUAAUACCGCAUAAUGUUGAAAGAUGGCAUCAUCAUUCAACCAAAGGAGCAAUCCGCUAUGAGAUGGACCCGCGGCGCAUUAGCUAGUUGGUGGGGUAACGGCCUACCAAGGCGACGAUGCGUAGCCGACCUGAGAGGGUGAUCGGCCACAUUGGGACUGAGACACGGCCCAGACUCCUACGGGAGGCAGCAGUGGGGAAUAUUGCACAAUGGGGGAAACCCUGAUGCAGCAACGCCGCGUGAGUGAUGAAGGUUUUCGGAUCGUAAAGCUCUGUCUUUGGGGAAGAUAAUGACGGUACCCAAGGAGGAAGCCACGGCUAACUACGUGCCAGCAGCCGCGGUAAUACGUAGGUGGCGAGCGUUAUCCGGAUUUACUGGGCGUAAAGGGAGCGUAGGCGGAUGAUUAAGUGGGAUGUGAAAUACCCGGGCUCAACUUGGGUGCUGCAUUCCAAACUGGUUAUCUAGAGUGCAGGAGAGGAGAGUGGAAUUCCUAGUGUAGCGGUGAAAUGCGUAGAGAUUAGGAAGAACACCAGUGGCGAAGGCGACUCUCUGGACUGUAACUGACGCUGAGGCUCGAAAGCGUGGGGAGCAAACAGGAUUAGAUACCCUGGUAGUCCACGCCGUAAACAAUGAAUACUAGGUGUGGGGGUUUCAACACCUCCGUGCCGCCGCUAACGCAUUAAGUAUUCCGCCUGGGGAGUACGGUCGCAAGAUUAAAACUCAAAGGAAUUGACGGGGACCCGCACAAGUAGCGGAGCAUGUGGUUUAAUUCGAAGCAACGCGAAGAACCUUACCUACACUUGACAUCCCUUGCAUUACUCUUAAUCGAGGAAAUCCCUUCGGGGACAAGGUGACAGGUGGUGCAUGGUUGUCGUCAGCUCGUGUCGUGAGAUGUUGGGUUAAGUCCCGCAACGAGCGCAACCCUUGUCGUUAGUUACUACCAUUAAGUUGAGGACUCUAGCGAGACUGCCUGGGUUAACCAGGAGGAAGGUGGGGAUGACGUCAAAUCAUCAUGCCCCUUAUGUGUAGGGCUACACACGUGCUACAAUGGCUGGUACAGAGAGAUGCAAUACCGCGAGGUGGAGCCAAACUUAAAAACCAGUCUCAGUUCGGAUUGUAGGCUGAAACUCGCCUACAUGAAGCUGGAGUUACUAGUAAUCGCGAAUCAGAAUGUCGCGGUGAAUACGUUCCCGGGUCUUGUACACACCGCCCGUCACACCAUGAGAGUUGGCAAUACCCGAAGUCCGUGAGCUAACCGCAAGGAGGCAGCGGCCGAAGGUAGGGUCAGCGAUUGGGGUG
rnacentral:rRNA from 1 species